AGCUGCCGCCGGGUGAGUACGCGUGUAUAAUCUACCCCUGAAUUUGGGAUAACAGUUCGAAAGGGCUGCUAAUACCGGAUAAUAUGAUUCUUACCACGGUUUGAAUUAUCAAAGAGGGCCUCUCCUUGGAAGCUCUUGUUUGGGGAUGAGUUCGCGUACCAUUAGUUUGUUGGUGGGGUAACGGCCUACCAAKACUACRAUGGUUAGCUGGUCUGAGAGGAUGAUCAKCCACACUGGAACUGACACACGGUCCAKACUCCUACGGGAGGCASCAGUGAGGAAUUUUGCRCAAUGGGCGAAAKCCUGACGCAGCAACGCCGCGUGAGUGAUGAAGGCUCUUGGGUCGUAAAKCUYUGUCAAGUGGGAAGAAACCUUCCAYRMUUAAUACKCAURGKAACUGACGGUACCACUGAAGGAAGCACCGGCUAACUCCGUGCCWGCAGCCGCGGUAACACGGGGGGUGCAAGCGUUAUUCGKAAUUAUUGGGCGUAAAGGGCGYGUAGKCGGCCAUUUAAGUCGGGUGUGAWAUCCCGGGGCUUAACCCCGGAMCUGCAUCCGAUACUGGAUGGCUUGAGUAUSGGAGAGGGAAGUGGAAUUCCAGGUGUAKAGGUGAAAUUCGUAGAUAUCUGGAGGAACACCAGUGGCGAAGGCGACUUCCUGGACCAAUACUGACGCUGAGGCGCGAAGGCGUGGGGAGCAAACAGGAUUAGAUA
rnacentral:rRNA from 1 species